GGUGUACCCUGCGGCGGCCUCGAAGUGCAGCCGAAGCGUGCGGCCCGAGAACCCCUGCCAUCUUAGGAGAUGCUGCCCAAGAGACAGCAGCCCGAUGAUGGCAGGAGCUUCCCGGACGGUGAGGCGGCCUUCUUUUGCACCUGAGGAGGAUUUGCAGCCCCGGACUUCUGAGAGAUAAGUUGAGGGCUAAGACCCACAGAGGGUAUGAAAGCGGGGUCCCGGGUCGGGACUCACUGGGAGGGAUUUUUGAGCCGGCUUUGGAGACGGGGAUACCCAAGAAGGGGCCCCUUAACCUACAUAAAGGGAAGUCUCGCUUUUGAUCACAAUGCCAAGGUGCGCAGGGCAGAGCAAUCCCGGUGCGUGUCAUGUCACCUGUCUAUUGUUAUGUUCUUUUUGGGUGUCUUGUGUCUUCUGCCUUAGCCCUUUGAUGUGCUUGCGGUCGUUCUUUUCGCAGAGAGUUUUCUGUCCUUGUCAUGUCUCCUCAUGUGUCAUCUCCUGUGUCAUGGGUGCUUGCACGGGUUUGGCCCGGAGCUGCUCCGCCCUGCCGCAUAGUCUGGCACGUAGGUGUAAUAGAACAAGGCCUGGGGACUUGAAAUUUGUAAUGUAGGGUGUAGUUUGGCCUCUAGAUCAUAUUCCUAGAUUCACAUGAGAUGGCUGGAGCUGUUAAGUUCUCAUGCAGGACUCUGACUUUUGUCAUCGCUUUCUUUCAGAUGCAGAUGGAUGAAAUCUGUGGCAGGGCGCCCCCGACUGGGUGAGGGGGUUCCCGCAAGAAGGUCAGUUGCUGUUUGUGUUUGUGGGGCAACUGUAAAUGGUGGCUGUGUUACAGCAUUGUUCUUUGUCUUUGCUUUCAGGAGGUAAAACUGGAUAGCAGCAGUCAAGGUCGAUGGAGCGAGGGGGUCCACUUUUUUUAUGCUAAACCUCCUCACCGACCGGCUGACGGACCCGCUUUGCCACCGUCGUGAGCGCUCUGGAAGUAUUACGGGACUCUGCAAUGAAGCCUUUACAUUUUCUGUUCGGAGGUACCUUCUGGUACAUCCAUGGCCGAGGAGUUGUGAUGAGUCGGGGAGGGAGGGAGGAGGAGGGAGGGUCCACUCAAGUUUCAGCAAUGCCACAACACCUUGUCUCCUCUUAACCCGGGCAUACCCUGUGAUGACAGCGUCGGCCUCGGAGCGUGGCUGAAGCGUGCGGUCUGAGGACCCCGGCCUUCUUAGGAGACGGAGACGACAGCCCAGUGACGACAGGAGCUUCCCAGAGGGCGAGCCAGCCUUCUGUUGUGCCUGAGGAGGAUUCCCAUCUCCAGAUGUCU